rnacentral:lncRNA from 1 species
AUGCGCACACCGUCCCGCCCGGAGCGCCCGCGCCGCCGCCCGGAGGACACGGGGCCCGGCGCACACGACCCUGGUCGGCGGAAGGGACAAGCGGGGACGGGGGCCGCCGACCCGAGGGCACCAAGGCCAGCGCCCCCGACGCCCGGGGCCAGACGCCGGGGGGACCCCCGCUGCCCCGCUCCCCGCCCAGGUGGCGCGCCAGGCACCGCGACAGGGCGGUGGGCUGUGCGACGACCGCGCCGCGCCGUCCGAAGAGGGCGACCAGCGGGGCAGCGCGCGGGGCCCAAGGGCCAGGGAGGAGCCGGCCGGCCGAGCGCCCCGCCCCGUCCCCACCCGGCCGGCCGGCCCGCGGAGGCCUCCUUACCGAGCACAGCCGCCGCCGACUCGGAGCCGGGCCGGGCGGGCCACGAGGCGAGCGGCCAGGCUGCCGCGCCGCGGGCGGGGGGUCGCGAGGAGGGGCGGCAGGGGGCCGGGCGGGGGAGAGCGGGGAGGGGCGGCAGGGGAGGAGCUCUAGGAGGUGUGGCGAGGGGCCGGGGGACCGUGGAAGGAGCGGCCGGGGGCGGGGAGGGGCGGAGCGGGGCCGGGGGGGGGGGGGGGGGGGGGGGGGGGGGGGGNNNNNNNNNNNNNNNNNNNNGCUCCCGCCGCACCUGCCGCGCCCCGCUCCCCAGGAGUGAGAGGACGGCCGGCGCUAUGCGGUCGCGCUCCACGUGGAAGGGAGGUGGCUGCGGCUCUCCUUCCCAGUACCUCUUCCUCCUCGUCUGUUCCCGGGGAAAGAGUCCCCCGGAUCUUGGCUACUUCCUGCCGGACCCCUGCCCCUGUCGCGCGCUGUCCCAGGGCGCUCGGCCUGCUGCACCGCAGCUCUUAGGGUUAACCUUCCAAAUGUUGUUCCCUGACCUCUGGAUUCCUCUCUGUCCUGCUGGUUCCGAUUCUGCAGCCUCCUCUCCGAGGCCCUUUUCCUGCUCUUGUCUUUGGUACAGCGCGCCCGCGGAUACCAUUUUAAAAUAA